rnacentral:rRNA from 1 species
AUGAACGCUGGCGGCGUGCCUAAUACCUGCAAGUCGAGCGAACAGACGAGGAGCUUGCUCCUCUGACGUUAGCGGCGGACGGGUGAGUAACACGUGGAUAACCUACCUAUAAGACUGGGAUAACUUCGGGAAACCGGAGCUAAUACCGGAUAAUAUAUUGAACCGCAUGGUUCAAUAGUGAAAGACGGUUUUGCUGUCACUUAUAGAUGGAUCCGCGCCGCAUUAGCUAGUUGGUAAGGUAACGGCUUACCAAGGCAACGAUGCGUAGCCGACCUGAGAGGGUGAUCGGCCACACUGGAACUGGGACACGGUCCAGACUCCUACGGGAGGCAGCAGUAGGGAAUCUUCCGCAAUGGGCGAAAGCCUGACGGAGCAACGCCGCGUGAGUGAUGAAGGUCUUCGGAUCGUAAAACUCUGUUAUUAGGGAAGAACAAAUGUGUAAGUAACUAUGCACGUCUUGACGGUACCUAAUCAGAAAGCCACGGCUAACUACGUG